GGUCCUAAACUUGCUGCUGUUUUUGAUUAAAAUUACACAUGUAAGUAUCUGCACGCCAGUGAAAACGCCCUAAUAGUAAACAAGGAGCGGGCAUCAGGCACGAAAUUCAGCCCAAAACGCCCUGCUACGCCACACCCCCACGGGAAAUCAACAGUGACAAACAUUAAGCCAUAAGCGAACCACUCUUACCAUAAAGCUUGACUUAGUUAUAAUCAAUUAGGGUCGGCCAAUCUCGUGCCAGCCGCCGCGGUUACACGAGAGACCCAAAACAGCAUCCAAACGGCGUAAAUUGUGACUAGAAUUAACUGCUAGACCAAACCAAAGGGAAAAACCACUGCCAACCCGUAAAACAUUGGGCAAAAGGAAUUUUCUUUAUACAAGGCACUUUGAACUCACGAGAACUAAGAAACAAACUAGGAUUAGAUACCCUACUAUGCUUAGUCAUAAAUAAGACACCACAAACAAAGUGUUCGCCAGAGAAUUACGAGCGAAAAGCUUAAAACUCAAAAGACUUGGCGGUGCCCCACACCCGACUUAGAGGAGCCUGUCCUAUAAUCGAUGACCCACGAUAAACCUCACCCCCAUUCGCCAAUACAACCAGCCUAUAUACCGCCGUCGUAAAUCUACCUCACAAGAGACAAACUGUAGAUAAAAUAGUACAACACUAAAACGUCAGGUCAAGGUGUAGCUAAUACGGGGGCAGAGAUGGGCUACAUUCUUUAUAACACAAAGCAUACAAAAAGAACAAUGAAACAACUUCCAAAAGGAGAAUUUAACAGUAAGCCUGGCAAGAAAGCCAGGCUGAAGCCCGCUCUGGGGCGCGCACACACCGCCCGUCACCCUCCU
rnacentral:rRNA from 1 species